UACGAAGGGUGCAAGCGUUACUCGGAAUUACUGGGCGUAAAGCGUGCGUAGGUGGUGAGUUAAGUCUGUCGUGAAAGCCCCGGGCUCAACCUGGGAAUGGCGAUGGAUACUGGCUCGCUAGAGUGCGGUAGAGGAGAGUGGAAUUCCCGGUGUAGCAGUGAAAUGCGUAGAGAUCGGGAGGAACAUCAGUUGCGAAGGCGGCUCUCUGGACCAGCACUGACACUGAGGCACGAAAGCGUGGGGAG
rnacentral:rRNA from 1 species